AAAGUUGUUGCAGUUAAAAAGCUCGUAGUUGGAUCUCGGGACGGGGCGAAUGGUCCGCCCUUGCGGGUGUGCACUGGUCGCCCCGUCCUUUGAGUCGGUGACGCUACUCUGGUCUUUACUGGCUGGGGUGCGGAGUCGGCGAUGUUACUUUGAAAAAAUUAGAGUGCUCAAAGCAGGCUCGUGCUCUGAAUACAUUAGCAUGGAAUAACGCUAUAGGACUCUGGUCCUGUUGUGUUGGUCUCCGGGAUCGGAGUAAUGAUUAAUAGGGACAGUUGGGGGCAUUCGUACUCCAUUGUCAGAGGUGAAAUUCUUGGAUUUAUGGAAGACGAACUACUGCGAAAGCAUUUGCCAAGGAUGUUUUCAUUAAUCAAGAACGAAAGUUGGGGGCUCGAAGACGAUCAGAUACCGUCCUAGUCUCAACCAUAAACGAUGCCGACUAGGGAUUGGCGGAUGUUAUUUGGAUGACACCGCCAGCACCUCAUGAGAAAUCAAAGUCUUUGGGUUCCG
rnacentral:ncRNA from 1 species